GGAGGGAGGUAGAAAAAGCAUUCAAUCUACCAGUCUCACAUUUGCCUGUCUUUGUCCUUCCAGGACAACCUUCUGGAAGGUGCCAGGAGCCUCUGUUGAACAUUCAGUGCCCUCAGAAUCCUGUUGGUAUGAGUGGGAACUGAAAACUUCUGGUACUGAAGAGGAGGGCUUUAACUCUGAGGUGCUGCAGACAAGAAAAUGCAUUCCUGUUCCAGAACCUCCAGGUGUACAUAAGGAAAGAAACUGGACAGAGCAGAUGGGCAAAGCAAGUAUCAGCAUGCACACCUUUUCACAGGGAGUAUGUAAUCGCCAGCAUUUCACCUGUGCAGAAUCAGACAGAACUUUCUCAUUGCAUCCAACAGAUCGGAGACUGCAUGUGGAUGGGGAAUGAACUCAAGAGACCAGAG
rnacentral:lncRNA from 1 species